rnacentral:rRNA from 1 species
UGGGGAAUCUUGCGCAAUGCGCGAAAGCGUGACGCAGCAACGCCGCGUGCGGGAAGACGGCCUUCGGGUUGUAAACCGCUUUCAGUUGGGACGAAGCUUCGCCGGUGAAUAGCCGGCCGAAGUGACGGUACCUUCACAAGAAGCCCCGGCUAACUACGUGCCAGCAGCCGCGGUAAUACGUAGGGGGCAAGCGUUGUCCGGAAUCAUUGGGCGUAAAGCGCGUGUAGGCGGCUUCGUCAGUCCGUUGUGAAAGUCCAGGGCUCAACCCUGGAAUGCCGAUGGAUACUGCGGAGCUCGAGUCCGGAAGAGGCAAGUGGAAUUCCUGGUGUAGCGGUGAAAUGCGCAGAUAUCAGGAGGAACACCAAUGGCGAAGGCAGCUUGCUGGGACGGUACUGACGCUGAGACGCGAAAGCGUGGGGAGCAAACAGG